GGGUAUAGCUCAGUAGCAGAGCACACGUUUACCACGUAUAAGGUCCUGGGUUCAAUCCCCAGUAUGUCUA
rnacentral:tRNA from 1 species